UUUGAUCCUGGUUCAGAUUGAAUGCUGACAGCGUGGAUGAGGCAUGCAAGUCGUACGAAAAUCUCUCUCGAGAGAUUUUAGUGGCGGAAGGGUUAGUAAUACAUGGGUAACUUACCUUCUACACGGGGAUAACGACUGGAAACAGGCGCUAAUACCCGAUAUGGUGUAGUGAUCAAUGAUUGCUAUAUUAAAGUGGGGGAUCGGGAGACCGACCUUGCGGUAGAAGAGAGGCUCAUGCGAUAUCAGCUUGUUGGUGAGGUAAUGGCUCACCAAGGCUAAGACGUCUAGGCGGAUUGAGAGAUUGACCGCCAACACUGGGACUGAGACACUGCCCAGACACCUACGGGUGGCUGCAGUCGAGAAUCUUUCGCAAUGGGCAAAAGCCUGACGAAGCGACGCUGUGUGAGCGAUGAAGGCCUUAGGGUUGUAAAGCUUUUUCGCCCGUGAACAAAACGGUGGGAGUAAUAUCCCCACAAUUUGAGCGUAGCGGGUAAAGAAGCACCGGCUAACUCCGUGCCAGCAGCUGCGGUAAUACGGAGGGUGCAAGCAUUAAUCGGAUUUAUUGGGCGUAAAGGGGGCGCAGGCGGAUAGAAUAGUCAGAUGUGAAAUCCCGGGGCUCAACCCCGGAACUGCAUUUGAAACUCUCUAUCUAGAGGAUAGGCGGAGAAAACGGAAUUCCACAAGUAGCGGUGAAAUGCGUAGAUAUGUGGAGGAACACCGGUGGCGAAGGCGGUUUUCUAGCUUAUUCCUGACGCUGAGGCCCGAAAGCUAGGGGAGCAAACAGGAUUAGAUACCCUGGUAGUCCUAGCCGUAAACUAUGCAUACUUGGUGUAGCCGGACUCAACCCCGGUUGUGCCGUAGCUAACGCGUUAAGUAUGCCGCCUGGGGAGUACGCUCGCAAGGGUGAAACUCAAAAGAAUUGACGGGGACCCGCACAAGCAGUGGAGCAUGUGGUUUAAUUCGAUGCAACGCGAAGAACCUUACCCAGACUUGACAUGUAGUGGACCGCUCCAGAGAUGGAGCUUUCCUUCGGGACCGCUACACAGGUGCUGCAUGGCUGUCGUCAGCUCGUGCCGUGAGGUGUUGGGUUAAGUCCCGCAACGAGCGCAACCCUUAUCGUCAGUUGCCAGCACGUAAUGGUGGGAACUCUGGCGAGACUGCCUGGGUUAACCAGGAGGAAGGUGAGGAUGGGGUCAAGUCCGCAUGGCCCUUAUGUCUGGGGCUACACACGUGCUACAAUGGCCGGUACAGAAGGCAGCAAUACCGCGAGGUGGAGCAAAUCCCAAAAACCGGCCCCAGUUCGGAUUGGAGUCUGCAAUUCGACUCCAUGAAGUUGGAAUUGCUAGUAAUGGCGUGUCAGCAACAACGCCGUGAAUACGUUCCCGGGUCUUGUACACACCGCCCGUCACAUCAUGGGAGUUGGUUUUGCCCGACGUCGCUGACUCAACCGCAAGGGGAGAGGCGCCUAAGGUGAGGCCGAUAACUGGGAUGAAGUCGAAACAAGGUA
rnacentral:rRNA from 1 species